rnacentral:ncRNA from 1 species
UGUUGCAGAAGAGGAGCACUGCCCAGGUAGAUGUGUCGUGGAACCACAAUUCCGAGACAACACAUUGAGGGGGAGCAGUGCCGAGGUAAACCAAAAGUGUGGUUUUGGUUUGUCGGUUGACUUGGGUUGAGUCCCAUCAACUGUCAUCAGCACAGCCUGAUGAUGAGCUUCUGAGGUC